GCAUAUCAAUAAGCGGAGGAAAAGAAACUAACAAGGAUUCCCCUAGUAACGGCGAGUGAAGCGGGAUGAGCUCAAUUUAAAAUCUGGCGGCCUCAGGUCGUCCGAGUUGUAGUCUAGAGAAUCGUUUUCCGCGUUGGCCUGUGUACAAGUCCCUUGGAACAGGGCGUCAUAGAGGGUGAGAAUCCCGUCCUUGACACAGACUACCAAUGCUUUGUGAUGCGAUCUCGAAGAGUCGAGUUGUUUGGGAAUGCAGCUCAAAAUGGGUGGUAAAUUCCAUCUAAAGCUAAAUAUUGGCGAGAGACCGAUAGCGAACAAGUACCGUGAGGGAAAGAUGAAAAGCACUUUGGAAAGAGAGUUAAACAGUACGUGAAAUUGUUAAAAGGGAAACGAUUGAAGUCAGUCAUGCUUUCCGAGACUCAGCCGAUUCUGUCGGUGUACUUCUCGGUUGGCAGGCCAGCAUCAGUUUCGAUCUGUGGAAAAGGUUGGAGGGAACGUGGCAUCCUCGGAUGUGUUAUAGCCCUUCUUCGAAUACAUAGAGCGGGACUGAGGAACGCAGCGCGCCUUUUAUUAGGUUGGCCCUCGGGUACAUACGCGCUUAGGAUGCUGGCAUAAUGGCUUUAAACGACCCGUCUUGAAACACGGACC
rnacentral:rRNA from 1 species